CUCUGUUGGCAGCAUAAUAUGCAGUGUCAGUAGAAUCGGUGUAGUAUAAAAAUGAUAACUGAAGUUAACUUUAGUUCAUACUGAACGGAACACACUCGCAAAACGACUGUACUAAAAUGUGGUUUGGUGUGGUUAUGUGUGCAGCGAUUUUACAAGCCCAUAUCGGACCAACAUUUGCUUUACAUGCAGAUGUACUUGAGCAAAUUAUGAAUAGACUCGAACUCUUAGAGACGGAGAACACCUCGCUUAAAAACAAAAUGGCGGAGCUGGAGGAAAAAUAUAAUACUCUGCUAGAACAUAUGAAUGAAAAAAAGAAUCAAGUAGACGAGAAAUUCGAUGCAGUGAUUGAAAAAGGUCCAGAUGUCAUGGUUUUAGACAAGAUUCAAGAGAACUUUAAACAAAGCGAAGUUUUUGUUCCUCCCAAAAGGCAUGCUGCGAUUUCAGGAGGAACCAAACGAAAUGUCCCUGUGCAAGAAAUCGCCUUCUAUGCCACUUUGAAAAGCCACAAUAUUUCCAAUCUAGGAAGCAACCAGAUCAUUGUAUUUGAUAACGUGCAGUAUAACCUAGGAAAUGCGUAUAAUUGGAGACAUGGCUUUUUUCAGGCCCCGGUAGAUGGCACUUACGUAUUGCACGUGACAUUGUCGUGCAGAUCCUAUACAAAUCAAGCACUUUAUGCAUUUGUAUGUGUCAAUGACGUGGCAAUCAGUGAAUUGAUACUGGACACACCCAACCAGUCGUCGCAAAUGCUGGUGUAUCGUCUUAACACUGGCGACGAAGUAACAGUAACGAAUACUAACGUUGGCGAUGCGAUUAACGGUUACUUAAAGUCGUCGUUUUCUGGCUUCCUCCUUUAUGCACACGGCGAAGUAACAAUUGUUGGCUGAUGUUUCAAUUUGUAAAAAAAAUGUUUUGAAAUAAACAUAAUAAAUUGAAUGAAUAGACGAAACACA